GAUAAACGCUAGCGGCGUGCCUUAUGCAUGCAAGUCGAGCGGUAUAUCGCAAGAUAUACAGCGGCAAACGGCUGAGUAACACGUAAGUAAUCUGUCCUAAAGUGGGGAAUAAUCCGCCGAAAGGUGGACUAAUACCGCAUGUGGUGCUGAAAUCAGUUUUUCAUCACUAAAGCCUUCGGGUGCUUUAGGAGGGGCUUGCGUCCUAUCAGGUAGUUGGUGGGGUAACGGCCUACCAAGCCUAUGACGGGUAGCUGGUUUGAGAGGAUGUCCAGCCAGACGGGGACUGAGACACGGCCCCGACUCCUACGGGAGGCUG
rnacentral:rRNA from 1 species